CGGCCGCCCCCACCGCAUGACCUUCUGGGAUUUGUAGUAAUCAGGGCCACGCGGCUGGGCGCGCCCUCUAACAGCAGCACCGAGUGACCGCAGCGCAGGAGCGCGGGAAAAUGAGGCUGCGCGGGCUGAGGAGCGCACCAGUAGGAGCCGCCCCAGCGGUACCGCGCAGCGUCGCGUCCAGUCAGUGGGGAAUAAGGUCUUGGAGUUAGGUCAACAGGAGAAGAGUCAAGUGAGGUCACAGAUGAGUUGAAUCACUAGGAACAAGUCAAGAAGCCUCAAAAGAAUCAAAGAGUAAAAUAUCAAGAAUGGCCUUUAUUGAUUGCAAUGGGAAGCAAAAGAGGAGACCUGAAAUCAAAUGAGAAAGCGUAAGCAUCCUCAGGAGCAGCCCACUGGAUCUCAGUUCUGCCCUGCUCAGAGAAGUUCAGUAUCCAGGCAACUGAGGACAGAACCAGCUGGCACCAAAGACAUGAUGUUGAGGGGACCAGAGCCCCUUUCCCUCUGCCUCCAUACAUAACAGGGAGCAGGACCACACAGUCAGUCCCUGACAAGAAAAGGAGGGUGGAUUUUCUGAAAUAUGAUAU